rnacentral:rRNA from 1 species
AGAAUCAACGCUGGCGGCGUGCCUCAGACAUGCAAGUCGAACGCGAAAGUUCCCUUCGGGGGGCAAGUAGAGUGGCGCACGGGUGAGUAACACGUAGGUAAUCUACCUUUGGAUGGGGAAUAACAACCGGAAACGGUUGCUAAUACCGCAUAAUGCAGCGGCACCUAAUGGUGACAGUUGUUAAAGCGGGGGAUCGAAAGACCUCGCGUCUGAAGAGGAGCCUGCGGCGGAUUAGCUAGUAGGUAAGGUAACGGCUUACCAAGGCAACGAUCCGUAA